rnacentral:rRNA from 1 species
UACGUAGGGUCCGAGCGUUGUCCGGAAUUACUGGGCGUAAAGAGCUCGUAGGUGGUUUGUCGCGUUGUUCGUGAAAACUCACAGCUCAACUGUGGGCGUGCGGGCGAUACGGGCAGACUAGAGUACUGCAGGGGAGACUGGAAUUCCUGGUGAUAGCGGUGGAAUGCGCAGAUAUCAGGAGGAACACCGGUGGCGAAGGCGGGUCUCUGGGCAGUAACUGACGCUGGAGGAGCGAAAGCGUGGGGGAGC